rnacentral:rRNA from 1 species
GACGAACGCUGGCGGCGUGCCUAAUACAUGCAAGUCGAACGCAGUGGGGACGGGUGAGUAACACGUGGGUAACCUCCCAUCAGAGGGGAUAACACUUGGAAACAGGUGCUAAACCGAUACUGAUGGAUGGACCCUCGGUGCAUUAGCUAGUUGGGGAGGUAACGGCUCACCAACGCCACGAUGCAUAGACGACCUGAGAGGGGGAGCUGCCACAUUGGGACUUAGACACGGCCCAGAAUCCUAAGGGAGGUAGAAGUAGGGAAUCUUCGGCAAUGGACGAAAGUCUGACCGAGCAACGACGGGUGAGUGAAGAAGGUUUGCGGAUCGUAAAACUCUGUUGUUAGAGAAGCGGUAUCUAACCAGAAAGCCACGGCUAACUACGGGCCAGCCGCCGCGGUAAUUC